GCUCGCGCUCGGCGUUUCGGUGCUGGUCGUGCUGUGGCUGGGCUCGGGCGUCGAGCUCAGGCUAGGGCUGACGAUGCUGGCCAAGCGGGAACGCACGUCUGGGAAGUCCUCGUAGUCAUCAAUGUCCAUGACCUUCCAGAGGAACACAGACAUUGUCUCAAUUCAACCACAGUGAAGACUUGUCUGGCUGAGGAUUUCAAAUUCCAUAAUGAUUUGGAGAUACGCUACUAGAAACUUUCAGUGAGGACAAAGAAAAGUUAUCAUAGUGUAAGAAGGAUAGAGUGGAUUAGUAUUUCUCACAGUUGGGGAGAGAAAUACUUGGCUAAUAUCAAAAUAUGCCAUUGGGUGGUAAAUAGACUAUGUCAUUGACACAAAUGUGUCAACCUUCACUUCUCCCCCUAAGCCCACACACUGAAGGGGUGAGUUUAAGUCUGAGAACAGGAUGUCAAAAGUUUCCAGGCAUGGAACAAGCCAUAGAAUGGAUUAAAUAAAUACCCCAAGUGGAAGAAAGCCAUACACUAUUAGACAUUCCUUUUUUUUUUUUUUUUUUUUU